AUGUCAGGAAGAGAUCGCCUGCCGCGCCGUUUUGUCGAAGAUGGAAGGGGCUAUGUUGACGCCCGUGUGGCUGAGGAUCGCAGGGGUCAUCAUCCUGGUAUCCGAGUGGUUGAUGAUCGUAGGGGCCAUCAUGAGAUCCAUGUAGUCGAUGAUCGCAGAGCCUAUCCUGCAGGUCGUGUGAUUGAGGAUCGUAGAGCCUACCCUGAGAUUCACGAAAGGCCGCUCAUGAGGGUGGCUCCUCGCUCUCACCCGGAUGUCCUAGAGGAAGAAAUUCAGUUGCACAAGGUUGAUUUCCGCAGGCUUAUGGCUGAUCGUCAUGCUCUAGCUGAGGAACGGAUGGAGUUGCACAGGGAGUUGCAAGCCGGAAAGGAGGAGGUCUGUCACCUUAACAUGAUCAUCGCAGAGAUUAAUGCCAAGAAGGAAGCUUAUAUCAGCGAGCUCGUUGACAAGAGAAGGAAGCUUGAAGCUGAACUUAGAUCAAAUGAGCCUUUGAGAGAUGAGGUUGUGCAUCUUCGUGGUGAAAUCGAGAAGCUCCUUGCUGUUAGGAAAGAACUCUCUGCAAAGGCUGCAUCACUCAUGCAGGAGCUGAGUAGGGAGAGAUCUGAUAAACAACAGUUACCUAUGCUGAAAGCAGAGAUUGAGGGCCUUCAACUGGAACUUACUCAUGCAAGGAAUGCAUGUGAAUUGGAGCAGAAGGGGAAUUUCGAGUUGGUGGAACAAAGGAAAGCAAUGGAGAAGAGUAUGAUUUCGAUGGCACAAGAAAUUCAACAAAUGCGGGCCGAAUUAGCUAAUUUUGAUGGCAGACCAUGGGGCACAGGUGGAGCACAUGGGAUGAAGCUGGGAAGUCCUGAAGCGACCUUCCCUACUCAAUAUGGAGAUAAAUACAAUAUACAUGCGGGAGUUUCUGAGAAAGGUCCUUCGCACCCUCCUGAAUCUUCGUGGGGCACAUUUGAGAAGAACCGUUUCCAGUACCGCUAA
rnacentral:rRNA from 1 species